rnacentral:lncRNA from 1 species
AGGAAGAAUACAUUGAACACAUUAAGAAAUCUUUUGCACAGGUGGUUGAGGCUGAAGGUGGUGAGGCAUUGAGCCGACGAAAGGAGUUCAAUGAUGUUGAUCAAGCGAAUGAUCUAUCUAUUAUAGUUGGGAUCGGACGCGAACUAAUUAUGUUUCUUAAGUGCAUUUUAGUUUUGGUUUUUUUAGUGCUAGUUGCGAUUGUAUUUGUUGUAGCCAAGCUUUCUUAAAUUAAUCAACUAUGUAUCUUAGACAUGUUGUGCAAUAAGAUGAGAAAGUAUAUGUGUGC